GACGAACGCUGGCGGCGUGCUUAACACAUGCAAGUCGAACGGAAAGGCCCCUUUGGGGGUACUCGAGUGGCGAACGGGUGCGUAACACGUGCGUAACCUGCCCUUGACUUCGGGAUAACUUCAGGAAACUGGGGCUAAUACCGGAUAGGAAUCCUUGCUGCAUGGUGGGGGUUGGAAAGCUUCGGCGGGUUUGGAUGGACUCGCGGCUUAUCAGCUUGUUGGUGGGGUAGUGGCUUACCAAGGCUUUGACGGGUAGCCGGCCUGCGAGGGCGACCGGCCACAUUGGGACUGAGAUACGGCCCAGACUCCUACGGGAGGCAGCAGUGGGGAAUAUUGCACAAUGGGCGGAAGCCUGAUGCAGCAACGCCGCGGGCGGGAUGACGGCCUUCGGGUUGUAAACCGCUUUCAGCAGGGGCGAAGCUUGUGGUGACGGUACCUGCAGAAGAAGCACCGGCUAACUACGUG
rnacentral:rRNA from 1 species